GCAUCAUUAAGAGGCAGUUGGCCUCUGGUACCUGCCGAGGAGCCUGAGUUCAGAAUUUAAUAGGCAGGUGUCGCUGGCUGGAUGACCUAUAGGAGCCAAGUGGAAACCAUCUUGGUACAGAAACACCAGGUGCGAAUAAUAAGUAGUUGGCGAGAUUACAACAGCCUAGAGGGACAUACCUGCUAAAGGGACCUGCCCAGAUACUCCCAUAUUAUGGCUGUGCAGGACGAGAGUGUACAAAAGUUGUCAGGACCUCCAGAGCUAUGUCGGGGUCACUUGCAGGAUGAUCGAAACAUUUUGUGGGAGUUCCCAUUGCGGCUCAGCAGGUUAAGAACCCAACUAGUAUCCAUGAGGAUACAGGUUUGAUCCCUGGACUCACUCAUGGGUUAUACUCCAAUUUAAUUAGAGUAUAGUUGAUUUACAAUGUUGUGCCCCAGUUGUUUUUCCCAGGGGCUUUACCUUCCAUAAAGUCCACCUUAGGUUUUUUGUUUUUUGUUUUUUGUUUUUUUGGCUGCCCCACUGUAUGUGGAGUUCUGGGGCCAGUUGCAGCAACACAGGAGCCUUAACCCACGGUGCCCAGCGGGGGAUUGAACCAAUGUCCCAGUGCUCCCAAGACACCUCCAAUCCUGUUGCACCACAGAGGGAACUCCUCUUCCUUAGUUCUUUUUUUUUUCUUUUCUUUAGAGGGCUGCACCCACGACAUAUGAAAGUUCCCAGGCUAGGGGUUGAAUCAGAGCUGCAGCUGCUGGCCCACACCAUAGCCACAGCAAUGCCAGAUCCAAGCCAUAUCUGAGACUUUCACUACAGCUCAUGGCAAUGCCGGAUCCUUAACCUACUGAGGGGUGCAACCCAUGUCCUCACAGAUCCUAGUUGGGUUUGUUACCACUGAGCCAUAAGUGCGUUCACGUGGUCUUAGGUUUCUGAGCCUCUAUGGUUGUCGAGGUGACAGGACCAAGAAUGUCUGAGAGUAGGCACUGUCCCUGGGGCACAGAGGCAGGUCUGAGAUUGGGCAAUGCUGCCCAGGUGCCCCACACUUGGCCUCCCAGACUAGAGACCACCAGGGUCUUGUCCCGCUCCUCUCCUGGCCUCGCUCUGCCCACAGAGUUCCAUGGUGGCCCAUCUGAGGGACAAGCCUCAGGAAAGUGCUCGUUUUCUGGGCCCUCACCACCCUCACCGUACCAGACACUAAAGACCCGAGUGCCAGGCACCUGAUGAAUGAUGAGGACAUUAAGACACUAGGAGGUUGAAUCCUGGUUCAAGAUUCCCACAGCUAGGCCUUCCCAUUGUGGCUUAGCAGGUUAAGGACAGGAUGUUGUCUCUGUGAGGGUGCAGGUUCCAUCCCUGGCCUCGCCCAGUGGGUUAAGGAUCCUACAUUGCCUCAAGCUGCCCCAAAGGUCAGGUCGCAUAUGCAGCUGGGAUCCUGUAUUGCCAUGGCUGUGGCAUAGAUUAGACCACAGCUGCAGCUUGCACUGGACCCUUAGUCUGGGAACUUCCAUGUGCUGCAGGUGCAGUGGUGAAAAGGAGAAAAAAAAAAAA
rnacentral:lncRNA from 1 species